UACGUAGGGGGGCAAGCGUUGUCCGGAAUCAUUGGGCGUAAAGAGCGCGUAGGCGGUCCGGUAAGUCCGCUCUGAAAGUCCGGGGCUCAACCCCGGGAGGCGGGCGGAUACUGCCGGGCUAGAGUCCGGAAGAGGCGAGUGGAAUUCCUGGUGUAGCGGUGGAAUGCGCAGAUAUCAGGAGGAACACCAAUGGCGAAGGCAGCUCGCUGGGACGGUACUGACACUGAGACGCGAAAGCGUGGGGAGCGAACAGG
rnacentral:rRNA from 1 species